UACGUAGGGGGCAAGCGUUGUCCGGAAUCAUUGGGCGUAAAGGGCGCGUAGGCGGCCUGUUAAGUCGAACGUGAAAUCCCCGGGCUCAACCCGGGAACUGCGUCCGAUACUGGCAGGCUUGAAUCCGGGAGAGGGAUGCGGAAUUCCAGGUGUAGCGGUGAAAUGCGUAGAUAUCUGGAGGAACACCGGUGGCGAAGGCGGCAUCCUGGACCGGCAUUGACGCUGAGGCGCGAAAGCCAGGGGA
rnacentral:rRNA from 1 species